rnacentral:lncRNA from 1 species
GGCUGAAGAUCCCCAGCCACCUCAGACCCCGCAAAGGAGGAGCCGGGAAGAGCGCGCGCGUUGCUCUUCCGCUCACUAAACUUGGCCUCUGCGGCCGCCGUCGCUCGCAGGCGCGGGGGUAGCUGGGAAACGGCAGUGCCCCGGCACAGGAACCUCCGAGGUUGGUUGGUGUCCGCCGCUCAGUGCGGCGGCUUUGUUUGCCUCGGGCUUAUCGUCCUCGGGACACCGCUGCCCGCCUUUGGCUUCGUUGUCUCUGCGCCCGAGCUUCUCUUCCGGAAACCGCUGGAAGGAACCGGAGCGCCGCUAGGCUGGGGCCAACGGGAGGCUGGUCAGCGACGCGAAGCGGCCGCUCGAUGGUCCGUGGUGCCUCAGUGAUCUGAAGAUAUUUUCCUGGACGUGGACUUAUUUUUCAAAACCACUGUGUGGGGAAAGCAUUGUAUGCCAUUUGUUGAAAAAUGUUUGGGAGAUUGACUCUUCCACAACUGCUUUUUGCUAGCAUCCUUGGAAUUGCUGGAGGGAUGUAUAUUUAUCAACCAAUAUUUGAACAGUACCACCGAGAUCAGAUGGAAUUAAAAGAAAAGUUGAAAUUGGCACAAGAAUCAGAAGAGAAGAAAAGUUAAUACUACAUGGAGUUGAACUGUAAUUGUUUAAUGUUCUAUUGAAAUUAUACAUUGACUAUAAAUAAUCUAAUGAAAACUUCUCAAAUAUGUUUUAAACACAAAUAAAUCAUGUAAUGAUUUUAAAACAAGCGCUGUCAAUUUUAAUGUUUACUUUUAUUUGCUUCUUUUUUUUAAACUAAAAUGAAUGUCUUACUUUUAUUUGCUUCUUUUUUUUAAACUAAAAUGAAUAAAUGAAUGAAUAUUUUGUUUCCUAGUUGAGAUUUUGUUUUUCUAGGAAUGCAGGAGCAAGAGGUGACCAGACUGUUUAUAAAAUAGCUAGGAAUGGUGUUUAUAGUACUGGUUAUAGAUGAAGUAAAUAAAGUUAACCAUUUUGGGCAGAAUGCUCCUCAAAUAGCCUACAAUUAGCCCAGUUUAAUAUACUUGAGCAGUUUUUCAGCCCCGGGCAGAAUGGUGGAGUAAAUUGAAAAAUGAUGUAUUUCAGAGCAAGUUGAAGUUUUAGAGAAAAUAGAUGAUAUAUAAGAUGGCAAAUAUGACACAGAUCUGUUUGGUAACCUAAACGAAUUUGCAUUAAUAAUGGUGGUAAGGGUGGAAUUAAUUUGUUAUGAAGCUAUUUUUCAUAUAGUGUUACUGAAAUUGGUAGGAACUGUUCAUUACCUUUUAUUCUAAUCUUAAACUUGUAUUUUCAAAGACAGCUAUCAGUGUAAUCACAUGUACAAGAUGCUUUAUUUAAAUCAACUCAUUUUUAUUAUUGAUUUCUUGAAAAGUAAAUUUAUUAUGACUUCAUAUAAGCUAUCUAUGUUGAAUAGAGGCCAGCAUAGGUAAUUUUUAAAAGAGUGAAGAAAAAAAAUUAUUAAAGUAGUAUAUGUACAUUAAAAAAUUCAAACUACAGGAAUGAACAAAGUGAGAGGUUGAAAUUAUUGUAUACAUUUAUUUAAUCAGCACAUUCAACAGUUUAGUGUGAGCUUUUGAGACUUUUUUUAAAAGAUUGUAUUUAUUCAUGAGAGACACAGAGAGAGGCAGAGACAUAGGCAGAGGGAGAAGCAGGCUCCAUGCAGGGAACCUGAUUUGGGACUUGAUCCCAGGACCCUAGGAUCACGACCUGAGCUGAAGGCAGAUGCUCAACCACCGAGCCACCCAGGUGUCCUGACUUUUUCUUCUA